rnacentral:rRNA from 1 species
GAUCCUGGCUGAGGAUGAACGCUAGCGGCAGGCUUAAUACAUGCAAGUCGAGGGGCAGCACGGGUAGCAAUACCUGGUGGCGACCGGCAAACGGGUGCGGAACACGUACGCAACUUUCCUUCAAGUGAGGAAUAGCCCAGGGAAACUUGGAUUAAUACCUCGUAAUAUUAUGAAGUGGCAUCACUUUAUAAUUAUAGCUCCGGCGCUUGAAGAUGGGCGUGCGCCUGAUUAGGUAGUUGGCGGGGUAACGGCCCACCAAGCCUACGAUCAGUAACUGGUGUGAGAGCACGACCAGUCACACGGGCACUGAGACACGGGCCCGACUCCUACGGGAGGCAGCAGUAAGGAAUAUUGGGCAAUGGACGCAAGUCUGACCCAGCCAUGCCGCGUGGAGGAUGAAGGUCCUCUGGAUUGUAAACUUCUUUUAUCUGGGAAGAAAUCCAUAUUUUCUAAUGUGGUUGACGGUACCAGAUGAAUAAGCACCGGCUAACUACGUGCCAGCAGCCGCGGUAAUACGUAGGGUGCAAGCGUUAAUCGGAAUUACUGGGCGUAAAGCGUGCGCAGGCGGUUUUGUAAGUUUGUCGUGAAAGCCCCGGGCUCAACCUGGGAAUUGCGAUGAAGACUGCAAGGCUUGAAUCUGGCAGAGGGGGGUAGAAUUCCACGUGUAGCAGUGAAAUGCGUAGAGAUGUGGAGGAACACCGAUGGCGAAGGCAGCCCCCUGGGUCAAGAUUGACGCUCAUGCACGAAAGCGUGGGGAGCAAACAGGAUUAGAUACCCUGGUAGUCCACGCCCUAAACGAUGUCUACUAGUUGUCGGGUUUUAAUUAACUUGGUAACGCAGCUAACGCGUGAAGUAGACCGCCUGGGGAGUACGGUCGCAAGAUUAAAACUCAAAGGAAUUGACGGGGACCCGCACAAGCGGUGGAUGAUGUGGAUUAAUUCGAUGCAACGCGAAAAACCUUACCUACCCUUGACAUGUACGGAAGACCGGAGAGAUCUGGUUGUGCUCGAAAGAGAACCGUAACACAGGUGCUGCAUGGCUGUCGUCAGCUCGUGUCGUGAGAUGUUGGGUUAAGUCCCGCAACGAGCGCAACCCUUGUCAUUAGUUGCUACGAAAGGGCACUCUAAUGAGACUGCCGGUGACAAACCGGAGGAAGGUGGGGAUGACGUCAAGUCCUCAUGGCCCUUAUGGGUAGGGCUUCACACGUCAUACAAUGGUACAUACAGAGGGCCGCCAACCCGCGAGGGGGAGCUAAUCCCAGAAAGUGUAUCGUAGUCCGGAUUGUAGUCU